rnacentral:rRNA from 1 species
CAGCCGCCGCGGUAAUACGAAGGGUGCAAGCGUUACUCGGAAUUACUGGGCGUAAAGCGUGCGUAGGUGGUGGUUUAAGUCCGUUGUGAAAGCCCUGGGCUCAACCUGGGAAUUGCAGUGGAUACUGGGUCACUAGAGUGUGGUAGAGGAUAGUGGAAUUUCCGGUGUAGCAGUGAAAUGCGUAGAGAUCGGAAGGAACAUCUGUGGCGAAGGCGACUAUCUGGGCCAACACUGACACUGAGGCACGAAAGCGUGGGGAGCAAACAGGAUUAGAUACCCGUGUAGUCCCUGUCUCUUAUAA